AUGGUUUCUCUCCGGAAGGUCAAGGACACCUCUCCCAGGCUGGCUCUGCCGGCAGGGCCCCUCCCGCAGCCUUCCCUAAACCCCGGACUCUUUCCGGCCCGCCACCCCCAGGCUCCCAGGGACACACUCCUGCCGCAGGCAGGCUUGGCUGGGUCUCGGAAGUGGCCUGCUCUCCCUGCUGCAUCACACGGAGCUGAUGUGCCAGAGCAAGUUAUUUUUAAAAGGUGUUCCUACAGCAUCACAAGGAUCCCGACCCAGAAACACCCUCCAGCCCCGCAGGCAGGCGCAGGACCACGGCCUUUGGGCCUCGCUGGGCUGGCGCUCUGCUCGCGGGGACACUCCUCCGAUGGUCUCAGUUCUCUUGACCCUCGGCUGAGGUGCUGCCAUCCUCUGGGCUGGUUCAAACAGCAGGCUCUGAAUGCAGACGUCUCACCUCACCGGGUACUUCCUGGACGUGAUCCCCGUUGCCCGACACGUCUUUACUGCCUGUUGCCAUGCUCUAGGCCACGCAGACAUGCAAAAAGCCACAUGCCUUUAUGGGCGGGAUCAUGUUCCAAACUGUGAAGCCCGCUCAAGGGUCUUAUUCCAUUUGCCCACACGACAGCCCUGAAAUCAGCAUGGCCCUUGACGUCGUGCAUGGCGCUGUCUCACUCUGCUGCCGGUCCCUCUGACCAGGACACCAUCCAGCCCAAGUCUCAGUCCCUUUAAGAAAUACUCAGACUGGAGUUCCCGUCAGGGCUCAGCAGUUAAGGAACCUGACUGGUAUCCAUGAGGACGCAGGUUUGAUCCCUGGCCUCACUCAGUGGGUUAAGAAUCCGGCGUCACCGUGAGCUGUGGUGUAGAUCUCAAAUGUGGCUCGGAUCCCACGUUGCUGUGGCUGUGGUGUAGGCUACAGCUCCAAUUGGACCCCUGGCCCAGGAACCUCCAUAUGCCGCGGGUGUGGCCCUAAAAAAAAAAAAAAAAAAGCAUACUUUACUUAAAAAAAGAAGAGCCUGUUUAGAAAAUGCACAGGUAAAAUUUAGAAAGGGGGGCAUCGGAGGUGUACCCCUAAACCACUGCUUGUCUUGCCCCUCCGAGGCUAGAAAAUAAAUUCAAUUCAGAUUUGAAGUUGGUCUAAAUUUACCAGCUCCGCUGGAAGCGCUGUCAUGGAAGCCCUAGCCCCGGGCCAGCUAUUUGCAAAAUGACUCAAAAGAAGCAGCACUCUUGUAAAUGACUCUCAGGGUUUGAAGGUUCCCACUGAGUAAAGGACCCCGCCAGAGGAUACCGAGGCGCAGACACAGAUGGAAUCCCUUUGCCCUGAUUGUUUUGCUAAACAGCCGAAACCAAUUGAACAGAUAAGCCAGUGCUCUUGGCCUGCGAGGCAGCAGGAACACAGGGCUGGACAGUGAGCUCGGAGGAGCCCAGGGUGAGGCCUCAGGCCACUCAGGCUGAGCGAGACCCCACCCUCAGCACAGGGACAGCAGGGUCGGUUCCUCCCUCCCGGAGGGAAAAGGAAAGGUCGAAAUUCGUCUCAAACUCCAGACACAACCCUAGGCUCGCUCCAGAGGAAGCCACUGCUCCUCUCUGGGCACCUUUCUCUUCAGCCCAGCUUCACUGUGCUUGCCGUUGGGCCGGUCCCUGUCCUCUGCCUCUUUCUCGCCUUUUUGGAUCACUGCGUUUCAGAUGUGUCUCUCUCACACACCGUGGAGCUAGGAUUGGCUUUUGAGCCAGUGCACAAGUGGAGUCUGUUCACACGCACCUGUACGGCUGUUUGGUCUCUGUCCCUCCCAUCCUGUUGCAGGGACUGCAGGUCAUGUCGUGCUGGCUCUUUCCCUGCGUGCUGUGUCCCU
rnacentral:lncRNA from 9 species